rnacentral:misc_RNA from 1 species
AACGCACAUUGCGCCCGCCAGCACUCUGGCGGGCAUGCCUGUCCGAGCGUCAUUUCAACCCUCGGGGCCCGCGCCUUCACCGGCCGGGACCCGGUGUUGGGACGCUGCGAUGCCGCAAGGCGCCGCAGCCCCCUAAAGUAAUCGGCGGACCCGCUGAGGCACCCGAGCGCAGUAGUACUUCUUCUCGCUGAGGGCCGCUCCUCCGGCGGGCCAUCCGGCCGCUAAACCUCAACGCCCGCAGCGAUGCGAGCCGCGAACCUCGAAAUGUUGACCUCGGAUCAGGUAGGAAUACCCGCUGAACUUAA